rnacentral:rRNA from 1 species
UACGAAGGGGGCUAGCGUUGCUCGGAUUGACUGGGCGUAAAGGGCGCGUAGGCGGUUCGUACAGUCAGACGUGAAAUUCCUGGGCUCAACCUGGGGGCUGCGUUUGGAUACGUGCGGACUUGAGUGCGGAAGAGGGUCGUGGAAUUCCCAGUGUAGAGGUGAAAUUCGUAGAUAUCGGGAAGAACACCCGUGGCGAAGGCGGCUCUCUGGGACGGUACUGACGCUGAGACGCGAAAGCGUGGGGAGCGAACAGG